rnacentral:rRNA from 1 species
CCCUUAGAUGUUCUGGGCCGCACGCGUGCUACACUGAGUAAUUCAAUGGGUAAGGGAACGCUAGAGCAUUACCUAAUCUUGAAAUUUGCUCGUGAUGGGGAUCGACGGUUGCAAUUUUCCGUCGUGAACGAGGAAUACCUUGUAGGCGCAUGUCAUCAUCAUGCGCCGAAUACGUCCCUGCCCUUUGUACACACCGCCCGUCGCUCCUACCGAUUGAGUGAUCCGGUGAGGCUCUGGGACCUGGACGGAAAGAGCGUUUCGCUUGUCCUGUUUGGGAAACUUGGUCGAACCUUAUCAUUUAGAGGAAGGAGAAGUCGUAACA